rnacentral:rRNA from 1 species
GACGAACGCUGGCGGCGUGCCUAACACAUGCAAGUCGAACGGAGACGAUAGCAAUAUUGUCUUAGUGGCGGACGGGUGAGUAACGCGUGAGUAACCUGCCUUUCGGAGGGGGACAACAGCUGGAAACGGCUGCUAAUACCGCAUAACGUAUAUUGAGGGCAUCCUCGAUAUACCAAAGAUUUAUCGCCGAAAGAUGGACUCGCGUCUGAUUAGCUAGUUGGUGAGGUAAUGGCUCACCAAGGCUGCGAUCCGUAGCUGGUCUGAGAGGACGAUCAGCCACACUGGGACUGAGACACGGCCCAGACUCCUACGGGUGGCAG